rnacentral:rRNA from 1 species
AAUGAACGUUGGCGGCGUGGAUUAGGCAUGCAAGUCGUACGAGAAUCGUAGCAAUACGAGGAAAGUGGCGGAAGGGAGGAUUACGUGGGAAUCUACCCUCAGAACUGGGAUAGCGGCGGGAAACUGCCGGUAAUACCAGAUAAUGUCUGUGGACCAAAGGUGUGAUUCCGUCUGGGGAUGAGCCCACGUCCUAUUAGCUAGUUGGCAGGGUAAUGGCCUACCAAGGCAAUGAUGGGUAGCGGGUGUGAGAGCAUGACCCGCCUCACUGGGACUGAGAACUGCCCAGACACCUACGGGUGGCUGCAGUCGAGAAUCUUCGGCAAUGAGCGCAAGCUUGACCGAGCGACGCCGCGUGCGGGAUGAAGGCCUUCGGGUUGUAAACCGCUGUCGUAGGGGAGCAAGAGAUGAGGGUACUCCCUCUGAUUUGAGCGAUCCUAGGAGGAAGGACGGGCUAAGUUCGUGCCAGCCGCCGCUGUAAAAC